rnacentral:rRNA from 1 species
GAGUUUGAUUCCUGGCUCAGAUUGAACGCUGGCGGCAUGCCUUACACAUGCAAGUCGAACGGCAGCGCGGGAGCAAUCCUGGCGGCGAGUGGCGAACGGGUGAGUAAUACAUCGGAACGUGCCCAAUCGUGGGGGAUAACGCAGCGAAAGCUGUGCUAAUACCGCAUACGAUCUACGGAUGAAAGCAGGGGAUCGCAAGACCUUGCGCGAAUGGAGCGGCCGAUGGCAGAUUAGGUAGUUGGUGAGGUAAAGGCUCACCAAGCCUUCGAUCUGUAGCUGGUCUGAGAGGACGACCAGCCACACUGGGACUGAGACACGGCCCAGACUCCUACGGGAGGCAGCAGUGGGGAAUUUUGGACAAUGGGCGCAAGCCUGAUCCAGCCAUGCCGCGUGCAGGAUGAAGGCCUUCGGGUUGUAAACUGCUUUUGUACGGAACGAAACGGCCUUUUCUAAUAAAGAGGGCUAAUGACGGUACCGUAG